rnacentral:rRNA from 1 species
CAGUAGCGUAUAUUAAAGUUGUUGCGGUAAAAAAGCUCGUAGUUGGAUUUUGGUGUUUGACAAAUGGUCUGCCUUCGGGUUUGCACUGUUUGUUGGCACUUCUUUUCUGGGGAACUCACUGCUCUUAAUUGAGGGGUGCUGUAACGCAGAUCGUUUACUUUGAAAAAAUUAGAGUGUUCAAAGCAGGCCAACGCAUUGAAUACAUUAGCAUGGAAUAAUAAGAUAAGACUUGGGUCAUUAUUUUGUUGGUUUGCGGAUCGAGGUAAUGAUUAAUAGGGAUAGUUGGGGGUAUUCAUAUUUAAUUGUCAGAGGUGAAAUUCUUGGAUUUAUGAAAGAUGAACUUAGGCGAAAGCAUUUACCAAGGAUGUUUUCAUUAAUCAAGAACGAAAGUUAGGGGAUCGAAGACGAUUAGAUACCAU